rnacentral:rRNA from 1 species
UGGGGAAUAUUGCACAAUGGGCGAAAGCCUGAUGCAGCGACGCCGCGUGAGGGAUGACGGCCUUCGGGUUGUAAACCUCUUUCAGUAGGGACGAAGCGCAAGUGACGGUACCUGCAGAAGAAGCACCGGCUAACUACGUGCCAGCAGCCGCGGUAAUACGUAGGGUGCGAGCGUUGUCCGGAAUUACUGGGCGUAAAGAGCUCGUAGGCGGUUUGUCACGUCGUCUGUGAAAUCCUAGGGCUUAACCCUGGACGUGCAGGCGAUACGGGCUGACUUGAGGACUACAGGGGAGACUGGAAUUUCUGGUGUAGCGGUGGAAUGCACAGAUAUCAGGAAGAACACCGAUGGCGAAGGCAGGUCUCUGGGUAGUAACUGACGCUGAGGAGCGAAAGCAUGGGUAGCGAACAGG